rnacentral:lncRNA from 1 species
CCCUGACGUCAGCCCCUCGGACCCGGAUGUAGGCGCUCUCGCGGCAUCACCGAGAUUUGGUCCGGUGACUCUCCUGAAGUCGCCAUAUCCCAGACGCAGUGCGCGCUUUUACCCUCCUUGCUGUUUCCCUUCUCUCCAGCCUGCGUCUCUCCCACUCUUCACUUUUGCUUUCUUGAGUAAACUUGGCCCCGGCCUUUUGCUGGUUUCAUUCAGUUCUCUGUGCCCAACGAAAAGAACCUGUGGUCAGCUGCAGGAAAGGCCAGCGGCCCUAUCCCGGUAACGUGAGGUUGGAGCUGCUUUGGGAACCGGCUGCCUGGUACCGGGGGUCGGCCCGGAAGGCCGCAGUCUCCAGUCGUCCCCUCUCCGACCACCGCCACACCGUCCCUGCCGGCCUAAACAGAAACGGCGAACCUUGGCUCCAAUUCUGAGAAUUGGAAUAAGCUAGGAUUUCGGGACGCAUGGGUCAGAUGUAGCAGCUUUGCGCCACACUGGCAUGGGUGAGGCUGAGGCAAGACAAUCUCAUGCCUGAGGUAGGUUGGAUAUUUAGAGAGUUCAAGACCAGCCUGGGCGACGGAGCACCAUCCUGUCUCAAAAUGAGACUCAGGAUGCAGUGAGAGUUCUGGGAAUCCCAAAUGCAGCUUGAAGCCUGCAAACCACGCCGCAGCUGCAUUGCUUCUAAAUCUUCUGAGGGCCAGGGUGAGAAUGAGAGUGCUGACACUGCAGUACGUGCCGACAAGCUUGAAAAGAGAGAUGAGUACCGCAGAGGAGUUAUACGAACAGAGCCCGGAGUCUGAUGAGCGGCUGCAGCCCCAGCUCUUUGAUUUGAUAAAUCUCAGUUGUCUGGGCUGGGCCCAGACUUGCAGUCCUCCUGCUUCAGCCUCCCAAGGUGCUGGAUCCCAGCCUCAGGGCGAGGGAUCCCCAAAGCCUGCAGAUAGUGGAGCAGGAUGUGGGCCCCAGGCCUGGAAGAGCAAAGAAGAGGAGGAGGAGGAGCCUGGCGUGGUGGUGUACGCAGAUGACCAGAACCACGCAGAUGGUGCUGCUGGGAGGUGCGUAUCGCUGCGUGGCCCUGGCUGCGUGGGGAGGGAGGGACUGACUGGCAGGAGGCCAGAGUCACAGCGCCAGCUGGGCCUCGAGGUGGGGCGGGGCCACACCCAGGUGUUGGGGGGGCAGCUUUUCUGGACCCCUUCCUCAUCAGUUUCACCUGCUUUCAUCAGCUUUGCUAGAAAACUUUCCCCACAGAGAACUGGUGUGUUUGUUUGGGACAGGCUCUGGGUCCAGCCUGGCCCUGAGAGUCUCAUGUAGCCCACUUCAAACUCAUGGCCCUCCUGCCUCAGCCUCCCAAGUGUGGGGAUCAAUGGCGGCCACCACUGGGAUUGCUGAUCCGAGCCCUGAGCAGCAGCUUCUCCCCACAGCAACCUGGAGGUGCUGCAUGGGCCACCAAGACAGGGACGUCACGGGGAGGGAAGGGGACGUCAUGGGGAGUGAAGGGGAGGGCGGCCCACCCACCCUGGCCCAACAGCAUCUGUUCCCCCCAGCGCUGUCCCCACGCCCCAUCUCCCGGACCCGGCUGGCAGCGAGGACAGGGCUGGGACCCAGGACAGGGCUGCACCCCGCGACCAGCAACAGUGUUGGCAGAGGCAGAGCCGGUGAGCAGGGCAGCCUGGGCUACAAAGCACUAGACCCUGUAUUAAAAAAACAAAAAAUACUGCCUUAGAAUAAGCACUGGUAGAGUCUACCUUGAAAUAUAGAGUAGCUUGGAUGAUUAAAGGUUAGUGUGGGAGCAGAUUCUGAAGGUCCAGUUACUGGGGAAGUGUGAACCUGAACCCCACCCUCACCCACGUCUCUGGAGACAGAGCACUGAGAUUCAGGUCCCGUUGGAUGAGUCUUGUGUUGGACCUGCAUCCUUUUAUGUUCUUUGAGUUGACUUCAACUACAGCGAUUCUAUUAACAGUGUGGCCUGGUUGUUCCUUUGGAUUUGAUUGAAAAGGUUUUUUUGGUUUUGUUUUUUGGGCGUUUUUUUUUUUUUUUUUUGUACUGGGGAUCGAACUCAGGACCUUGCACUUGCAAGCCAGGCGAUGGCACCACUGGGCUGGAUCCCUGGCCCAUUAUGCUGAUGUUUUGUAGUUUAAAUUUUAGUUAACUCACUGAGCACCACGGCGCACACCUGUGAGCCCAGCACUGGGAAGGCUGAGACAGGAGGAUCGCAUGAGUUCAGGGCUAGCCUAAUUGCAUAAUGAGACCCUGCCUCGGAAAAACAAUAAAUAAAUAAAUUGUAGUUACCUAGCUCCAGGCUUACUAAAUAUUUCUGAGAUCUGAAAUGGAUUAACUCUGACCUGAGUUUUCCUGAGAAGAAUGCAGUCUUACAUUUCUCUUUAUUUUAAUUUUAUUUUUGGUUUUCA